rnacentral:rRNA from 1 species
UACAUGGGGUGCAAACGUUGCUCGGAAUUAUUGGGCGUAAAGAGCGUGUAGGCGGCCAGAUAGGUCAGCUGUGAAAACUCGAGGCUCAACCUCGAGACGUCGGUUGAAACCAUCUGGCUAGAGUCCGGAAGAGGAGAGUGGAAUUCCCGGUGUAGCGGUGAAAUGCGCAGAUAUCGGGAAGAACACCCGUGGCGAAGGCGGCUCUCUGGGACGGUACUGACGCUGAGACGCGAAAGCGUGGGGAGCGAACAGG